rnacentral:rRNA from 1 species
UACGGAGGAUCCAAGCGUUAUCCGGAUUUAUUGGGUUUAAAGGGUGCGUAGGCGGCCUGUUAAGUCAGGGGUGAAAGACGGUAGCUCAACUAUCGCAGUGCCCUUGAUACUGAUGGGCUUGAAUGGACUAGAGGCAGGCGGAAUGGGACAAGUAGCGGUGAAAUGCAUAGAUAUGUCUCAGAACACCGAUUGCGAAGGCAGCUUGCUAUGGUUUUAUUGACGCUGAGGCACGAAAGCGUGGGGGAUCAAACAGG